UUGAUUAUUAAUUAAAUUAAAGAUUGAUUCUGUCUUUUAUAUUUUAGUUAUAAAUUUAUAUUAUAUACAAGUUUUUGCGUGUUAGGUCUAAUCUAAAGGGUGAUGAUUAUAUUUAUUAAUUGUAGUUUUUUAUUUUAAAUAUUACAUAUUUGUAGAUUUAGUAAUUUUUGUUAGGGCUGUUUAAAGUUGUGCCAGCAUACGCGGUUAUACAAUUAGCUCGAAUUAAUAUUUUUGGUUAGCAUUUAUUUUUGUUAUUGGGAAUUAUUAUUUAUGUUAUUAGGUGAAAUUUUUAAUUUAUUGUAUUUUCUUGGUUUAAUAUUAUGUGAAAUUUGGGAUUUAAACUAGGAUUAGAUACCCUAUUAUUCUAAAUGUAUUUAUUG
rnacentral:rRNA from 1 species